UCAACUUACACGAGGUCAGUUCGCAUUCUCACACUCUAAUUUUGUGCCUGCAUUUUGGGGUUUUUGAUAUUGGUGUGGUUUGGGUGAUUUCACUUAAGUUCGAAGAGUAAUUCACAAAAGGCCUCCACAAGAUCUCUUUAGAAUAUACUGAGCUGUUGCUGCUAGAAGCCUGAUCAACCUUGCAACAAUCUUGUAUAUUAAUUCCAUUCGAGUGCUAAAGCUCUCUACAAAACCUUCAAAAGAAACUUUCAUUUCUAGUGACAAGUUCCAAGUGCAAGAGUAGAAGAGAUUCCAAGAUUUGGGGAAUUGAUUAGGAGGAUGCCAAAGGAAAAAAUGUAGUUCAGCAAUAACAAAGUGGUUUAGUUAGUUCUAUAUUGGAUUUAGUACAGGAGGAACCCUAAACUCUUUUGAAUUAGUAUAUAUUAUUGAUCUAAUUACUUUGAAUUAAUACUUAUUGUAAGGGAAUACUUUGAG